GAUGAACGCUGGCGGCGUGCCUAAUACAUGCAAGUCGAGCGAACAGACGAUGAGCUUGCUCCUCUGACGUUAGCGGCUGACGGGUGAGUAACACGUGGAUAACCUACCUAUAAGACUGGGAUAACUUCGGGAAACCGGAGCUAAUACCGGAUAAUAUAUUGAACCGCAUGGUUCAAUAGUGAAUGACGGUUUUGCUGUCACUUAUAGAUGGAUCCGCGCUGCAUUAGCUAGUUGGUAAGGUAACGGCUUACCAAGGCGACGAUGCGUAGCCGACCUGAGAGGAUGAUCAGCCACACUGGAACUGAGACACGGUCCAGACUCCUACGGGAGGCAGCAGUGGGGAAUCUUGGGCAAAGGGCGAAAGCCUGACGGAGCAACACCGCGUGGGUGAUGAAGGUCUUCGGGUCGUAAAGCCCUGUUGUUGGGAAAGAAAAGAAGUAGGAGAAUCCAUGGCCGUCUUGACGGUACCUAAACAAAAAGCAACGGCUAACUUCGUG
rnacentral:rRNA from 1 species